CAUCCUUAGCUCGGCUAUAAAAAGCUGUGGGUUUGAGGAGAAUUUUGCUAAUUGGCAGAUUGAUUAUUUCUAAGUAAGCCUACUGCUAGUGAAAUAUCAUGCAAAUUAUUGAAAUGAGAGGUUUUAAUAAUGCAGAGUGGGUAUAAGAUGAUACAUACCUUUGAUUAUCGCUCUGUUUGUUUGAGUUUUUUAAUAUUAACUUUAAUCAAAGAAAAAACAGAUUUCAGUUAAUGAAAGGAAGAAGAAUGUGAUCCAAAUCUCUGGGGAGAUAUAACGGAUAAUUGGAUUUCAAGUACUCUAGCUCCAUUCCCAAUAGUGUUCAUUUUCUUUGCAGGAUGAUAGUUGUUUAGUUUCAUUAGCCUUAAUGUACAGGGUCAGCUUUUAAAUUACACUGCAUUAGGCUGCUGCUCUCUUUUGCCUCAUUCCUUGCAUUUUUGCUGUGUGGCCUCUCUCAUGGCCAUGACUCUGCCUUGGUAGAGGUCACUUGUCACUGCCACCAGAGGGCUGCCACUGGAACUGCCAGUCCUCUUCCUAAUGAUUCCUGCCUUCCUCCCGAGCCUCCAGUGUGUCUCUAAGAAGGCAGAGCUUUGCCUGUGACUCUCAAAACAAUGAACAGAAGCUCCCCUUUUCUUGUUAAAAUCCAUUACCAGUAAACUGAGCCUUGCAAAAAAAACACUUGAAGGACUUCAGUUGGCAGCACUCACUGUGACUGCAGAAAAGAAUUCAGCAGCCUCCAGGGUUUAUUUUAAAUUCCAAAUUAACAAAAGAAAUUAUUAUGUGUGAUGCUGGAAUAAAUUUAUAUUCUAAGGGAAAUGUUUUCCGUGUUGGGAAGGAGAGGUUCUCGAGCAGGGCAGGCUGUUAGGUCGUAUUUGCAUACGAUGAAUUCCUUUCUUUCUCAAUGACUGAAAUUUCAGCCUGCAAAUAUUGGUGCUGUUUGUGUCUAGAAAAGCAAAUGUUAAUGAAUUUAGUUUAAAAACAGUUACUAAAUGUAGGUAGAAUUGGGUGACAAGUACACGUGCUUGUUAUGGCUUCCUGCUUAAUGGGAUUGGCUAAAAGCAUAGACUUUCCUCCUUUGAAACUCAUUGGUAUUUGAUUUUGAUGGGUUCAGGGAGAAAACCACCAAAUACUUUGCCAAAAUUUGAUAUGCCUUUCAAACCUGGUGCAUUCACCGGGUUUGAAUUGUGAAUGCAUCUUCCUGAUGGAAAUAAGCUCUUUUUGCACUGGAAAAAUGAGCAGUGCGUGAGCUUGGCCAUCACAUUUAUAUGUCUGGAUUAAUUACUGGACAACGUGAUAAGAUGCAUAGCAGUUGUUUUUUACUCAAUUCUAUGUGUAAAUUUCCACAUCCUUGGAAGAAGCAACGCAUUCCAGCAGCAUAACUGAGAGUAAACACAGGCGGUGGUGGGGAGAAGUUACCGAAGUGCUGUGGAAGUGCCAACCUCUAGAGACAACAUUUAGUUUACCCUAAGUUUUAAAAAUGUGUCAACGUUGUUUCUCUUUCAAAGAAACACACAACGCCUCAGUGAACCUGACAUCUCUUGGAGCUGACCCUAUUAAUUAUUUUUGACUUACUGUGUGCUAUACAUCCACAGGGAUUUGCACUGAAUCAAGUACACUAUCAUCAAGGGCUUUUAUUCCUUCUUUAUAUUUCCUGGUGUGUGUUAGAGAGUAUAUAUGCAAGGCUAAUAGCAGGUACUGUGUGAUAGAUCUGGAGAUAUAAAUGCAUCUGUCUUGAGGGGGGAAACCGUACAAAGCAGAUUAGGAAAGUGCACUGUUAAUUUUUUAUCUGCACAGCUCAAAAAUUCAGAUAUCUCUUUUAGACUACCAGGCACAAUACCUGAUUUUCCUGCAGAUCUUAAAAUGAUGAUUUCUAAGGACAAGUUCCAAGCCUGGAAUACACUCCCCAAACAGGGACGACCAAAUUUUUAUCUCAACUACAAAUACUACAUUAGAGUUCCUGCACUACAUGUGCAAGGCUUGCUGUGCAUCAACAAGGCAUGACUGAGAGCAGCUUCCCUCCCCUGUGCAUUGCUCUUUGGGGACCAGAGGCAAUUGAGAAGGUGGGGAAGGGAAUGGCUUGUUAGGCUCAGGGUGUAGAGAGAGGUGGGAACAGUUCACGAAAGUAAUGAGUUGAAGAGAAAGUAACAAGGAUGCUGAGGAAGCUCAUUCUUUUUCUGAUUCUUUUGCAUUCAUUCAUGGGAGAAAAAAUGGGAACUCUAGGAAGAAAGACAGGAGGAAGAAGAUAAAAUAAUAAAAAUGUGCCUUUGUGCAAUGAAAAGUCAUUUCCUCUUCGCCUACACACGCACAGAAAUCCAGCUGAGCUCUGUGGUUCCAUGACAGAGACAGCUGUAUCCAGGAUGGUUCUGACUCCAAGGCAAGACCAAAUCCUGCCUGCGUGGGAAGACAUGGUAGAGAAGGGAGAAACAUCAUCUGAUGGUGAAAAUCAAGCCUCAGAAAACCUGGCUGAUGUUCAGAGGAUGAGAUGGAAGCCUCAGCAACACCCAGGAUUGGACCCCAAUGUGGAGCCAUGCUGCUUUGCGAGGUAUACAGCUUAAAAAUGCAAACUACUCCAGAAAGGGGCAACAGCCCUUUUUAUGGGAUUGAUUCUGUUAAUAAGGAAAAU